ACCAGUGGCCGAUAGCACGUUGAUUACACGAGUUCUCAAUGGAGCACUGAAGUUAAGCAACGUUGCACGUGGUUGGUAUUUGAACCAUCUGAGCAAUCGCGUGCGGCUGGCU
rnacentral:rRNA from 1 species